AUGGAGCAGUAUGGCUGGGGAAGGGAGGAGGGAGGGUGGAGGAAAGGGCCGUGGACGGCGCAGGAAGACAAGCUGCUGCUCGGCUAUGUUCGGCAGCAGGGGGAUGGGAGGUGGAAUUCUGUCGCCAAGCUCACAGGUCUGAAGAGAAGCGGGAAGAGCUGCAGGCUUCGGUGGGUGAAUUACCUGCGACCUGACCUCAAGAGAGGCAAGAUCACGCCGCAGGAGGAGACCGUCAUACUCGAGCUCCAUGCCUUGUGGGGAAACAGAUGGUCGACGAUUGCGCGUAGCCUCCCCGGCCGGACGGACAACGAGAUCAAGAACUACUGGCGGACGCACUUCAAGAAGGGCAAGCCGUCGUCCAAGAACAUCGAGCGCGCCAGGGCGCGCUUCCUCAAGCAGCGCCGCGAGAUCAUGCAAGGUCACCACGAGCACCAGCGCGACGUCCAGGACGACGACGGCGCUGCUAGCGCGGACAACAACGGCGACGGCGCGGCUAGCCAUCACGCAGAUGAAGCAACAACAUGGCCAGCACCGCCGCCGGCGCAGGACGACGACGACCUGGCGAUGAUGCGGGAUAUGGCGGACAUGGACGACUUCCUGCAGUACCAUGAUCCAAUGUCGACGUCGGCCUACUUCCUCCUCAACGGCGGCGAUGGCGCCGCCAGCGACGCGGGUUCCAGCGGGGAGAUCGACGCCUGCGGCGCCACGUGGGGCAGCUUGUGGAACCUCGACGACCUCGACGUUGUAGAUGACGUCGGUGGUGGCGGCGCGUGCGGCUGGGGCAGCUUCGCUUUGCUCCAAGAUCACGGACUCGCUUUCUACUAG
rnacentral:rRNA from 1 species